GCGGAGAUGGAGAGAAGCGGAGAACUUGAUGCAUAUUUUGGAGGCAAAAUCAACAAGAUUGGCUGAUGGAUUAAAAGCAGAAGAUUUUGCCAUAGAGAAAUCUCUUGCUUUUCAAUCUCUCCAAUUUGGGAACCAACCAACCAACCAGUCUACCAACCAGCCAACGAACCAACUACUCAACCGGUCAACUGACUCCUCCCGGAGACAAAGAUUGGAGAAUUGCUUGAAUCUGGUCCAGGAGCCUCAAGUUAUCUUGGGACCUCUAGAGGAGAGGAAUUCACCCAACUCAUACAGUGAUCUCUGGCUGCAGCUCAGAAGAAACAAGAAGGAUGGGCCAUCAAGCUCCAGAUGAUCCUCAGUGAGGAAUACCAUCCUCUCAAUAUUCAGGAGUCACCCUUCUACAGAGGACCCCUAGAAUGCUCAUCAGUGGGACACAACAGAGGUGAAAUUCUGCCCCUGCCUCCCUUGGACCUGGCUGAAUACUGCUUUCACCAACCCAUGGAGCCACCCUGCCCUGACAGCUAGCAAGAGGCCAAGACUCACAGAACAACCACCACUGCCCAUCUGUCAGCAGGAGGAAUACUUGACUGGUAAAGGAAGAAUGCCUCAAGUGAGCCUGUGUACAACUCCAGUAAACACACUGUGCAUGCAGCCCCCUCCCAAGUGCUGGCAGGCCACUGUGCAUGCAGACAGCCCAAGUGGUAACAUCUUUAGGUCUCAGAUCCUGAUAGGGACCAGAAAGCUCUGGAAUUCUCUGUGCAACAAAAGAUUACAUCAGGGACAGAACGCACUCCCAGCUGAAGAGUGACUCAAUUAUUAGGAGCUGCUAACAAAUGUACAGUGCAGUGGUGGUUCAAGAAGUUUUGCAAAGGAGACGAGAGCCUUGAAGAUGAGGAGUAUAGUGGCUGGCCAUUGGAAGCUGAUGACAAAUUGAGAGCAAUUAUCCAAGCUGAUCCUCUUACAACUGCACUAGAAGUUGCUGACCAUUCUACAUUCAGCAUUUGAAGCAAAUUGGAAAGAUGAAAAAGCUCAAUAAAUGGAUACCUCAUGAGCUGACUCAAAGUCAAAAAAAUUAUUAUUUUAAAGUGUCAUCUUCUCUUAUUCUAUGCAACAACAGUGAACCACUAUCCAGUUGAAAAGUGAAUUUUAUAUGACAACCAGCAAUGACCACUUACCAAAGCCAAACUUGCACCAAAAAAAGGCCAUGGUCACUGUUUGGUGGUCUGCUGGUCUGAUCCACUACAGCUUUCUGAAUCCUGGCAAAACCAUUACUUCUGAGAAGAAUGCUCAGCAAAUUGAUGAGAUGCACUGAAAACUGCAACACCUGCAGCAGGCAUCGGUCAACAGAAAAGGCCCAGUUUUCCAUGACAAUGUCCAACCACUCAUUGCACAACCAACACUUCAGAAGUUGAAUUAACUGGGCUUUGAAGUUUUGCCUCAUCUGUCAUAUUCACCUGACCUCUCACCAACUGACUACCACUUCUUCAAGUAUCUCGACAACUUUUUGCAGGGAACACACUUCCACAACCAGCAGGAUGCAGAAAAUGCUUUCCAAGAGUUUGCUGAAUCCUGAAGCAUGGAUUUUUAUGCUACAGGAAUAAAUAAACUUAUUUCUCAUUGGC
rnacentral:lncRNA from 1 species